rnacentral:rRNA from 1 species
GUGUCAGCAGCCGCGGUAAUACCAGCUCUCCGAGUGGUGGGGACGUUUAUUGGGCCUAAAGCAUCCGUAGCCAGCUGAGCAAGUCCCCAGUUAAAUCCAGCGAUUUAAUCGUUGGACUGCUGGGGAUACUGUCCGGCUAGGGGGUGGGAGAGGCCGACGGUAUUCCCGGGGUAGGGGUGAAAUCCUAUAAUCCCGGGAGGACCACCAGUGGCGAAGGCUGUUGGCUAAAACAUGCCCGACGGUGAGGGAUGAAAGCUGGGGGAGCGAACCGGAUUAGAUACCCGGGUAGUCCCAGCUGUAAACGAUGCAGGCUAGGUGUUAGGGCGGCCACGUGCCGCUCUAGUGCCGCAGGGAAGCUGUUAAGCCUGCCGCCUGGGGAGUACGGCCGCAAGGCUGAAACUCAAAUGAAUUGACGGGG